GCCCAGGUGGCGGAAUUGGUAGACGCACUAGCUUCAGGUGCUAGCGGCUUCGGUCGUGGGGGUUCGAGUCCCCCUUUGGGCACCA
rnacentral:tRNA from 1 species